CAUUAGCGCCGAUGGUACUGCCAAUGGUGGGAGAGUAGGUCGUUGCCUUUCUUUAUAAAACCUCAAUCUUUUAGUAGAUUGAGGUUUUUUUUAUGCACCUAUUUUAGGUUGAAUACUUUCAUUACUACAGAACCUGACUAAAGCUUUAAGAUAAGUAUAGGUAAGUAAUUAACUUAUUAAGAUAAUCCCCUUUUUAAGUAAUAGGAAGUACAAUAUGUAGUGAGUACAUGUAUAAAUAUCCCUUUACAUAUUUUACCUUCUUCCUGUACACUACAAUAAGUGGAUUAUUCGUAUAACUUUUUAAAAAGUUAUAUAUCGUGAGUAAAUUGUGAUAUAGACCUUAUUAUUUUGAAUCAAAAUGUAAUAAAAUUAAUAUUUAAAAUUAUUGGUAGAAUUUAUAAUUGAUUAAUAUUAUAAAUUAUGUAUAAGGGUUAAUUUUUAGUACAAUUAUUUAUUAAAGAAAAAACUAACACAUUUUAUGCUAGCCUUUUAUGUAUAAUAUUUUCGUUACCUUAACUUGCUUCUUUUUAACAAAAAAGACCUUUAAGUGUUAAAUGGGAUGCAAAAAAGAUAUGAUUUCAUUCAUGACUGUCUUACUCAAAGCAUAAACGACUAAAACAUACUAGAAAGAUAUAAGAAUUUCUAGAAUUGUUUCUUUAAUAAAUAAGAAUUUAUAAUAAAACAAAAGCGAGGCAUUAUAUUCUUUUUACUAUUAUGUUAUAUUUUAGAGCAAGUAUUAAAUUCAUACUUACUUUUAGAGGGAUUUAAUCGUCUAAUUUUAAAAUACAAAACCUUAUUUUUAAAUAAGAAAGAGAAGAUAUCUUGCAGCGUGCAUAUAUUGAGGAGAAGUUAGAAUAUCAAGAGCCAAAAUUGGUCAAGAACUAUUUAGUUAUAGUCUCAAAGAGUAGAGGAUAUGUUGACGUAUCGGAGUAUAAAAAGAUGUUUUCGAAGAUGCGUAAGAAGCGAAAAGGUAAGAAAAAGUAACUUUGAAACUUUAGAAUCACUUAUUACAAUUUAUAUAUACAAUCUAAGUAUAACAAAGCUUUCGAUUAAUUAAGGUGUUUUACGGGUAAAAGAGUUAAAAGACAUGUAAAAUAGGAGGUGCUUACAAAAAACUUUUUGGGUUAAAAUAUUGUGGAGUAGCGAUUUAAAAAUUGGUUGUAAAAAAAGGCAAAAAAAGUAGUUGUUAAGUGGAAAAA
rnacentral:rRNA from 1 species